AUUGAACGCUGGCGGCAUGCUUUACACAUGCAAGUCGAACGGCAGCGCGGGCUUCGGCCUGGCGGCGAGUGGCGAACGGGUGAGUAAUGCAUCGGAACGUGCCCAGGAGUGGGGGAUAGCCCGGCGAAAGCCGGAUUAAUACCGCAUACGACCUGAGGGUGAAAGCGGGGGACCGAAAGGCCUCGCGCUAUUGGAGAGGCCGAUGUCGGAUUAGCUAGUUGGUGGGGUAAAGGCUUACCAAGGCGACGAUCCGUAGCUGGUCUGAGAGGACGACCAGCCACACUGGGACUGAGACACGGCCCAGACUCCUACGGGAGGCAGCAGUGGGGAAUUUUGGACAAUGGGGGCAACCCUGAUCCAGCCAUGCCGCGUGCGGGAAGAAGGCCUUCGGGUUGUAAACCGCUUUUGUUCGGGAAGAAAUCCUCUGGGCUAAUACCCCGGGGGGAUGACGGUACCGGAAGAAUAAGCACCGGCUAACUACGUG
rnacentral:rRNA from 1 species